GGAAAAUAACUACGACCAACCAUCUUAUUCAUGAGCUCAAAUGCUUCCUGCAGAAACCUUCACGACAGAAUCCAUGAAUUAAGCAGUCAUAAACAAGAACAUUUGCAAUUCCACUUUCAUUACUCAUCUGAAAAGAAUCAUAUUCGCAUUCCUCCAGCUCCCAUCAACAGCUCUUGGAAAUAAUUUUUCCCGGUCACUCAAGUGCCUCAUCUCACAUAUUUUUCUAGUAAAGACCAUAUAAAACACUAUCAUAACUAAAAAGACCUCCAGAACCACCUUUAGACUCUUCCAUCCGUUAUAGGAUCUUAAACCCUCGAUUAAUGUAUCACAUGUAUCAAAAUUCAAACUGAUCUCGUCUGUUUUCAUAUCAUUCAAAAUGUCAAGA
rnacentral:misc_RNA from 1 species